rnacentral:tRNA from 1 species
GGACAUACAGCUCAGUGGUGGAGCACAUGCUUAGCAUGCAUGAGGUCCUGGGUUCAAUCCCAGUACCUCCA